UACGAAGGGGGCUAGCGUUGCUCGGAAUCACUGGGCGUAAAGGGCGCGUAGGCGGUUACGGCAGUCGGGUGUGAAAGCCCGGGGCUCAACCCCGGAACGGCACCCGAUACUCUGUGGCUAGAGACCGGAGAGGUGGGUGGAAUACCCAGUGUAGAGGUGAAAUUCGUAGAUAUUGGGUGGAACACCGGUGGCGAAAGCGGCUCACUGGCCCGGUUCUGACGCUGAGGCGCGAAAGCGUGGGGAGCAAACAGG
rnacentral:rRNA from 1 species